rnacentral:rRNA from 1 species
UACGUAGGGUGCAAGCGUUAAUCGGAAUUAUUGGGCGUAAAGAGCUCGUAGGCGGUUCGGUAAGUCGGGUGUGAAACCUCCAGGCUCAACCUGGAGACGCCACCCGAUACUGCUGUGACUCGAGUCCGGUAGGGGAGCGUGGAAUUCCUGGUGUAGCGGUGAAAUGCGCAGAUAUCAGGAGGAACACCAGCGGCGAAGGCGGCGCUCUGGGCCGGAACUGACGCUGAGGAGCGAAAGCGUGGGGAGCAAACAGG